rnacentral:misc_RNA from 1 species
GGAGGGAUCAUUAACACUGUAUCCAAUAUCAACCAACUGUGAACUAUAGAUGUCCAUAGCGAUUCGUAAAGCGUAUAAAGGAAAGCUGUUAUGUGAAGAACUCUGGUUGUGGGGAUGUAUUCUCUGCAUAGAUGUGACUGUGUGCGUAAUGUGCUAAUGUUGCAUAUUGCUUUGCUUGGGGUUUGGCAUUGAUUGUGAUAAUGGUUGGUUGGAAGGAGAGCGUCAUCGCGUAUGCUCUCUUUCUCUCUCUCUGUAUUGUGAUUGUAUUGUUAGACUUCAGUGGAGUGUGUGUGAUAUUGGUAUUGUUAUGUAUACAGUUGUGUUUAUGCUUGGAGUAUGUUCAGUGAUUCAAUUCACAACUGCAAUCUUGGUUCAGCUUUCAACCUUACUAGGGUUUAAUCCAAAGCUUGGAAUUGUGUAGGCUUUUUGAUCCAUUCACGUGGGUACACUUGUAACAACCAUAAAACCCAUUAUACGAUGCUUCAGCACUAACUAAUAUUUGUUGAGCGAAAGCUCUAUCAAAUUGUAUUACGAAAUACUGAACAACUCUUAACAAUGGAUAUCUUGGUUCUCGCAACGAUGAAGAACGCAGCGAAAUGCGAUACGUAAUGCGAAUUGCAGAAUUCAGUGAAUCAUCAAAUCUUUGAACGCAAAUUGCGCUCUCGGGAUAAACCUGGGAGCACGCCUCUUUGAGUAUCGGUUCUAUCUCACCUCAACAGCGUGCUGAUUGAUCCAUUGUGUGUGUGUGUAUGUGUGUGUGUGUGUAUAUGCUUGCAAGAGUGUGUACAUAUAUAUAUAUAUAUAUGCAUGGAUGAUGGAUUAUGUUGUACGUGUAGUUGGAAAAUGAGCGUCUUGACUGCAAAGCCAAGUCGCUUUAAAGAUAGAGAGUUUUGAUCUCCUAGUUUCUCAGAACGGAUCACUUCACGGUGGUCUGAACUGAUAGUCCCUUCUACUCUGAAGUGCCUUUACAAUCUAGUGACGUGGAUAAUAUCACCUUUCAGGUGUUCCUAUGAAACGUCUAUGCUAGUGUUGUUGGCUGCUUCCUCGAAUGAUGUGUGGAAGGUGUAUGAACGACCAUGGAUGAGCUUAACAAUAUGGAAUUCAUUUCUUAUAUCCGAAUUAGAUCUCAAAUGAAGCGAGAAUACCCCCGAAUUUAAGCAUAUUAAUAAGGGGAGGAAAAGAAACUAACAAGGAUUCCCCUAGUAACGGCGAGUGAAGCGGGAAGAGCUCAAACUGAAAAUCGGAUACCCAAGCGGGUUUUCGAAUUGUAGCCUAGAGACGUGUUGUCAGUGUUUGACCCAGGUAUAAAUCUCUUGAAACAGGGUAUCAUAGAGGGUGAGAAUCCCGUCUUUGAUCUGGAGUUCACCACGUACGACGCAUGUUCAUAGAGUCGAGUUGUUUGGGAUUGCAGCUCUAAUUGGGUGGUAAGUUUCAUCUAAAGCUAAAUACUGGCGAGAGACCGAUAGCGAACAAGUACCGUGAGGAAAGAUGAAAAGAACUUUGAAAGAGAGUUAAAAGUACUUGAAAUUGUUAAGAGGGAAGCGAUAGAAACCAGUCAUACUUGUAGUUGUUUUGUACUUGGCUUACUGAGGGCUGUGGUAGUGUGUGGGCAACUCACACUAUUGUAGUCGGAGGAUAGGUUGAGUAUUUCUGCUGCUGCAAGUGGGUCAGAAUCAUUUCGAUCUGUGAGAGAAAGCUAUGAGGAAGGUAGGGUCUCCGGAUCUGUUUAGACUUGUAGCCAUAUCAUGGAUUGGAAUGAGGAUGUAACGGCGCGCCUUUCUGGCUUGGUACCUCGGUCCUGCUGGCUGUUAUAGUUUUGUACUGGAAUCCAGUGCUUGAUUGUAAUGGCUAGUACUGGCUGGGUGUAUUCUAUGCGUCGUCGCGAUUCUGACAAAAUGGUUUUAUCGACCCGUCUUGAAACACGGACCAAGGAGUCUAACAUAUAUGCGAGUAUUAGGGUGGAAAACUCUUGUGCGUAAUGAAAGUGAAGGCAGACUUGUUCUGCUGAGGUAGGAACCGGGCAACCGGGGCACUAUCGACCGAUCAUCACUUGUGAAAGAUUUGAGUAAGAGCAUAUCUGUUGGGACCCGAAGAUGGUGAUCUAUGCCUGAACAGGGUGAAGCCAGGGGAAACUCUGGUGGAGGCUCGUAGCGAUACUGACGUGCAAAUCGUUCGUCUGAUUUGGGUAUAGGGGCGAAAGACUAAUCGAACCAUCUAGUAGCUGGUUCCCUC